AGGCCAUAUCACGUUGAAACACUGGUUUUCGUCCGAUCACCGAAGUUAAGCAACGUCGUGCCUGGUUAGUACCUAAAUGUGUAACCGCUUUGAAAUACCAGGUGCUGUAA